UUGAAUAAUGGGCCAGUGCAGUCGCACUGACUGCUCGGGCAGGGCCGGGACUGCUAAUGAGGUGCAGCUACCUCCAAAGGCACUCACACGGUCACCAACCAUGCUUACUGAGGGACUACCAUAUGGCAUCUCCAUGCACACUAACGAAAGAACAUUGAAUUAUAUCAAUCAAAUGCAAAGGACCCAAGCCUCCGAACAUCAAAACAACAUGUGCCUCAGUCCUAUGUCUACAUAAGCAAGCUGAAACCAACAUAGGAGAAUUCUGUCUCCAGGAAACUACUCUCUUAUGCUCUGUGAAGCUCCUUCAAUACAAACGUUUGUGGAUCAACCCACAUAUGCAUGCAAAACAUAUUAGUCAAGCA
rnacentral:lncRNA from 1 species